UUUCUUUCAGUACGUCGAGAGCGACCGCAGUUAUGAAGAGCUUGCUGUUCCAACAUCCCUUUUACAGGCAGCGUGAAGCUGAAAGGCAUCAUCAUCUCUGGAGAGAAUGACGACUCUCAUCCAGCUGAGAUACGACUGUACAAGAACAUCCCUCAGAUGUCCUUCGACGACACCGGCAGAGAACCUGAACAAGCAUUCAGACUCAACAGAGACCCUGUGGCUGAACUGGAGUACCCAACAAAGUGAGAGCAUGAACCGUUUUGUUU